rnacentral:rRNA from 1 species
GUACGGGAGGCAGCAGUGGGGAAUUUUGGACAAUGGGGGAAACCCUGAUCCAGCCAUGCCGCGUGAGUGAAGAAGGCCUUCGGGUUGUAAAGCUCUUUCAGCCGGAACGAAACGGUCACGGCUAAUACCUGUGACUACUGACGGUACCGGAAGAAGAAGCACCGGCUAACUACGUGCCAGCAGCCGCGGUAAUACGUAGGGUGCAAGCGUUAAUCGGAAUUACUGGGCGUAAAGCGUGCGCAGGCGGUUUUGUAAGUCAGAUGUGAAAUCCCCGGGCUUAACCUGGGAACUGCGUUUGAAACUACAAGGCUAGAGUGUGGCAGAGGGGGGUGGAAUUCCACGUGUAGCAGUGAAAUGCGUAGAGAUGUGGAGGAACACCGAUGGCGAAGGCAGCCCCCUGGGUUAACACUGACGCUCAGGCACGAAAGCGUGGGGAGCAAACAGGAUUAGAUACCCCGGUAGU